UUAAUUGAAGCCAAAUUAGAGGCAUAUCACUGUUAAUGAUAAAAAUGAACUUUAAAGUUCCAAUUAAA
rnacentral:tRNA from 1 species